rfam:Lottia gigantea unplaced genomic scaffold LOTGIsca_517, whole genome shotgun sequence.
AUACUCACGUAAUAUGUAUACUAAAAUUGGAACGAUACAGAGAAAAUUAACAAGGCCCCUGAUGAUACGUCACUUUUGGUUGCAGCCAACAUGACA